rnacentral:rRNA from 1 species
CUGAGGAUACGGUUAACGGAGCGAAAGCGACGUUCAACCGCAAAAGAAGCAGAGGGGGCUUAGUGGUGGGGUGACUGCGUACCUUUUGUAUAAUGGGUCAGCGACUUAUAUUCUGUAGCAAGGUUAACCGAAUAGGGGAGCCGGAGGGAAACCGAGUCUUAACCGGGCGUUAAGUUGCAGGGUAUAGACCCGAAACCCGGUGAUCUAGCCAUGGGCAGGUUGAAGGUUGGGUAACACUAACUGGAGGACCGAACCGACUAAUGUUGAAAAAUUAGCGGAUGACCUGUGGCUGGGGGUGAAAGGCCAAUCAAACCGGGAGAUAGCUGGUUCUCCCCGAAAGCUAUUUAGGUAGCGCCUCGUGAAUUCAUCUCCGGGGGUAGAGCACUGUUUCGGCUAGGGGGCCAUCCCGGCUUACCAACCCGAUGCAAACUGCGAAUACCGGAGAAUGUUAUCACGGGAGACACACGGCGGGUGCUAACGUCCGUCGUGAAGAGGGAAACAACCCAGACCGCCAGCUAAGGUCCCAAAGUCAUGGUUAAGUGGGAAACGAUGUGGGAAGGCCCAGACAGCCAGGAUGUUGGCUUAGAAGCAGCCAUCAUUUAAAGAAAGCGUAAUAGCUCACUGGUCGAGUCGGCCUGCGCGGAAGAUGUAACGGGGCUAAACCAUGCACCGAAGCUGCGGCAGCGAACGUAUCACUUAAAGCGAUUCAGCGGGUUACGAUUGACGGAGCGAAGCGACGUCAAAGCGUAUACAAAGUCGAGUCGGUUUAAGGAUACGUUCGUUGGGU